rnacentral:tRNA from 1 species
GUCCUUGUAGCUCAGCUGGAUAGAGCAUUCGAUUCCUAAUCGAAGGGUCAUGCGUUCGAAUCGCAUCGAGGACACCA